rnacentral:lncRNA from 1 species
AUAUGCUAGAUUGACUCGAUUCGAGUUCACUUAUGAAUCUCAUGAAAAUUUUUUUUCAGUAUUCACACUUACUCUGGUCAGAGUUUUUUUGAACUCAAUCUUAUAAAUUACAUAGGACUUCUUCUUUUCUACCAAGAUUGAUAGAUUCCAUCUAAGUGCAUCCUACUCCAAAUAACGAAUCUGAAUCUAUAAUAGCCAACAUACACAGUAAGGAUCCAAAUAGCUAGAGAUCAAGAGAAUAUGCAGUCAAACUAAGUAGUCUCACUAUGAAUAGCUAACACACCGCAGGUCAAAAGAUCAGUCACACCC